rnacentral:tRNA from 1 species
GGAGAGGUGGGUGAGUGGCUGAAACCACCGGUUUGCUAAACCGGCGUACGUGGCAACACGUACCGGGGGUUCGAAUCCCCCCCUCUCCG